ACUUUCAGCGACGGAUGUCUUGGCUCCGACUACGAUGAAGAACGCAGCGAAAUGCGAUACGUCUUGCGACUUGCAGAAUCCAGUGAAUCAUCAAAACUUUGAACGCACCUUGCGCUUCCGGGAAGACCCUGGGAGCAUGCUUGUCGGAGUGUC
rnacentral:rRNA from 1 species